GUUAAGCGACUAAGCGUACACGGUGGAUGCCCUGGCAGUCAGAGGCGAUGAAGGACGUGCUAAUCUGCGAUAAGCGUCGGUAAGGUGAUAUGAACCGUUAUAACCGGCGAUUUCCGAAUGGGGAAACCCAGUGUGUUUCGACACACUAUCAUUAACUGAAUCCAUAGGUUAAUGAGGCGAACCGGGGGAACUGAAACAUCUAAGUACCCCGAGGAAAAGAAAUCAACCGAGAUUCCCCCAGUAGCGGCGAGCGAACGGGGAGCAGCCCAGAGCCUGAAUCAGUGUGUGUGUUAGUGGAAGCGUCUGGAAAGGCGCGCGAUACAGGGUGACAGCCCCGUACACAAAAAUGCACAUGCUGUGAGCUCGAUGAGUAGGGCGGGACACGUGGUAUCCUGUCUGAAUAUGGGGGGACCAUCCUCCAAGGCUAAAUACUCCUGACUGACCGAUAGUGAACCAGUACCGUGAGGGAAAGGCGAAAAGAACCCCGGCGAGGGGAGUGAAAAAGAACCUGAAACCGUGUACGUACAAGCAGUGGGAGCACGCUUAGGCGUGUGACUGCGUACCUUUUGUAUAAUGGGUCAGCGACUUAUAUUCUGUAGCAAGGUUAACCGAAUAGGGGAGCCGAAGGGAAACCGAGUCUUAACUGGGCGUUAAGUUGCAGGGUAUAGACCCGAAACCCGGUGAUCUAGCCAUGGGCAGGUUGAAGGUUGGGUAACACUAACUGGAGGACCGAACCGACUAAUGUUGAAAAAUUAGCGGAUGACUUGUGGCUGGGGGUGAAAGGCCAAUCAAACCGGGAGAUAGCUGGUUCUCCCCGAAAGCUAUUUAGGUAGCGCCUCGUGAAUUCAUCUCCGGGGGUAGAGCACUGUUUCGGCAAGGGGGUCAUCCCGACUUACCAACCCGAUGCAAACUGCGAAUACCGGAGAAUGUUAUCACGGGAGACACACGGCGGGUGCUAACGUCCGUCGUGAAGAGGGAAACAACCCAGACCGCCAGCUAAGGUCCCAAAGUCAUGGUUAAGUGGGAAACGAUGUGGGAAGGCCCAGACAGCCAGGAUGUUGGCUUAGAAGCAGCCAUCAUUUAAAGAAAGCGUAAUAGCUCACUGGUCGAGUCGGCCUGCGCGGAAGAUGUAACGGGGCUAAACCAUGCACCGAAGCUGCGGCAGCGACACUAUGUGUUGUUGGGUAGGGGAGCGUUCUGUAAGCCUGUGAAGGUGUACUGUGAGGUAUGCUGGAGGUAUCAGAAGUGCGAAUGCUGACAUAAGUAACGAUAAAGCGGGUGAAAAGCCCGCUCGCCGGAAGACCAAGGGUUCCUGUCCAACGUUAAUCGGGGCAGGGUGAGUCGACCCCUAAGGCGAGGCCGAAAGGCGUAGUCGAUGGGAAACAGGUUAAUAUUCCUGUACUUGGUGUUACUGCGAAGGGGGGACGGAGAAGGCUAUGUUGGCCGGGCGACGGUUGUCCCGGUUUAAGCGUGUAGGCUGGUUUUCCAGGCAAAUCCGGAAAAUCAAGGCUGAGGCGUGAUGACGAGGCACUACGGUGCUGAAGCAACAAAUGCCCUGCUUCCAGGAAAAGCCUCUAAGCAUCAGGUAACAUCAAAUCGUACCCCAAACCGACACAGGUGGUCAGGUAGAGAAUACCAAGGCGCUUGAGAGAACUCGGGUGAAGGAACUAGGCAAAAUGGUGCCGUAACUUCGGGAGAAGGCACGCUGAUAUGUAGGUGAAGCGACUUGCUCGUGGAGCUGAAAUCAGUCGAAGAUACCAGCUGGCUGCAACUGUUUAUUAAAAACACAGCACUGUGCAAACACGAAAGUGGACGUAUACGGUGUGACGCCUGCCCGGUGCCGGAAGGUUAAUUGAUGGGGUUAGCGCAAGCGAAGCUCUUGAUCGAAGCCCCGGUAAACGGCGGCCGUAACUAUAACGGUCCUAAGGUAGCGAAAUUCCUUGUCGGGUAAGUUCCGACCUGCACGAAUGGCGUAAUGAUGGCCAGGCUGUCUCCACCCGAGACUCAGUGAAAUUGAACUCGCUGUGAAGAUGCAGUGUACCCGCGGCAAGACGGAAAGACCCCGUGAACCUUUACUAUAGCUUGACACUGAACAUUGAGCCUUGAUGUGUAGGAUAGGUGGGAGGCUUUGAAGUGUGGACGCCAGUCUGCAUGGAGCCGACCUUGAAAUACCACCCUUUAAUGUUUGAUGUUCUAACGUUGACCCGUAAUCCGGGUUGCGGACAGUGUCUGGUGGGUAGUUUGACUGGGGCGGUCUCCUCCUAAAGAGUAACGGAGGAGCACGAAGGUUGGCUAAUCCUGGUCGGACAUCAGGAGGUUAGUGCAAUGGCAUAAGCCAGCUUGACUGCGAGCGUGACGGCGCGAGCAGGUGCGAAAGCAGGUCAUAGUGAUCCGGUGGUUCUGAAUGGAAGGGCCAUCGCUCAACGGAUAAAAGGUACUCCGGGGAUAACAGGCUGAUACCGCCCAAGAGUUCAUAUCGACGGCGGUGUUUGGCACCUCGAUGUCGGCUCAUCACAUCCUGGGGCUGAAGUAGGUCCCAAGGGUAUGGCUGUUCGCCAUUUAAAGUGGUACGCGAGCUGGGUUUAGAACGUCGUGAGACAGUUCGGUCCCUAUCUGCCGUGGGCGCUGGAGAACUGAGGGGGGCUGCUCCUAGUACGAGAGGACCGGAGUGGACGCAUCACUGGUGUUCGGGUUGUCAUGCCAAUGGCACUGCCCGGUAGCUAAAUGCGGAAGAGAUAAGUGCUGAAAGCAUCUAAGCACGAAACUUGCC
rnacentral:rRNA from 1 species